rnacentral:ncRNA from 2 species
AUGAUGACAAGAGGAGAGACCGAUGAAUUUUCGGCGCCGAAGGAGCAAGCGCGAACCCGUGCGAAUCUCUCAGGCAAAAAGACUCUUGUUUGACG